AGAGGCUACUGCUAUCGGAGUUCGAUUAAGCCAUGCGAGUCUAAAGGUUUCUUCGGAAACCUUGGCGAACUGCUCAGUAACACGUGGAUAACCUACCCUUGGGACUGGAAUAACCCCGGGAAACUGGGGAUAAUACCGGAUAGAUCAGGGAUGCUGGAAUGCACCUUGAUCCAAAGCUCCGGCGCCCAAGGAUGGGUCUGCGGCCUAUCAGGUAGUAGUGGGUGUAAUGUACCUACUAGCCAACGACGGGUACGGGUUGUGAGAGCAAGAACCCGGAGAUGGAUUCUGAGACACGAAUCCAGGCCCUACGGGGUGCAGCAGGCGCGAAACCUUUACAAUGUGCGAAAGCAUGAUAAGGGAACUCCGAGUGCCAGCAUCUAAUGUUGGCUGUCCUUGUGCCUAAAACGCACAAGAUAGCAAGGGCCGGGUAAGACCGGUGCCAGCCGCCGCGGUAACACCGGCGGCCCGAGUGGUAGCCGCUAUUAUUGGGUCUAAAGGGUCCGUAGCCGGUUCGAUAAGUCCUCUGGGAAAUCUGGUUGCUUAACAAUCAGACUGCCAAGGGAUACUGUCGAACUUGAGACCGGGAGAGGUAAGAGGUACUUCAGGGGUAGGAGUGAAAUCUUGUAAUCCCUGGGGGACCAUCUGUGGCGAAGGCGUCUUACCAGAACGGGUCUGACGGUGAGGGACGAAAGCUGGGGGUGCAAACCGGAUUAGAUACCCGGGUAGUCCCAGCCGUAAACGAUGCUCGCUAUGUGUCAGGUACGGUGUGACCGUAUCUGGUGCCGUAGGGAAGCCGUGAAGCGAGCCACCUGGGAAGUACGGCCGCAAGGCUGAAACUUAAAGGAAUUGGCGGGGGAGCAC
rnacentral:rRNA from 1 species